GACGAACGCUGGCGGCGUGCUUAACACAUGCAAGUCGAACGCUGAAGCUUGGUGCUUGCACUGGGUGGAUGAGUGGCGAACGGGUGAGUAAUACGUGAGUAACCUGCCCUUGACUCUGGGAUAAGCCUGGGAAACUGGGUCUAAUACUGGAUACGACAUGUCACCGCAUGGUGGUGUGUGGAAAGGGUUUUACUGGUUUUGGAUGGGCUCACGGCCUAUCAGCUUGUUGGUGGGGUAAUGGCUCACCAAGGCGACGACGGGUAGCCGGCCUGAGAGGGUGACCGGCCACACUGGGACUGAGACACGGCCCAGACUCCUACGGGAGGCAGCAGUGGGGAAUAUUGCACAAUGGGCGGAAGCCUGAUGCAGCGACGCCGCGUGAGGGAUGACGGCCUUCGGGUUGUAAACCUCUUUCAGCACGGAAGAAGCGAAAGUGACCGUACGUGCAGAAGAAGCGCCGGCUAACUACGUG
rnacentral:rRNA from 1 species